rnacentral:rRNA from 1 species
UCGAGGGGUAUAAGUAGCAAUAUUUAGAGACCGGCGCACGGGUGAGUAACGCGUAUGCAACCUGCCCUUUACUGGGGAAUAGCCCGUAGAAAUGCGGAUUAAUACCCCAUAGUUCUGUUAGAUCGCAUGGUUUGACAGAUAAAGUUUCGGCGGUAAAGGAUGGGCAUGCGUGACAUUAGCUUGUUGGUGAGGUAACGGCUCACCAAGGCUUCGAUGUCUAGGGGUUCUGAGAGGAAGAUCCCCCACACUGGUACUGAGACACGGACCAGACUCCUACGGGAGGCAGCAGUGAGGAAUAUUGGUCAAUGGGCGAGAGCCUGAACCAGCCAUCCCGCGUGCAGGAAGAAUGCCCUAUGGGUUGUAAACUGCUUUUUCGCAUGAAGAACACUCCGGACGUGUCUGGAGCUGACGGUAAUGCGUGAAUAAGCACCGGCUAACUCCGUGCCAGCAGCCGCGGUAAUACGGAGGGUGCAAGCGUUAUCCGGAUUUAUUGGGUUUAAAGGGUGCGUAGGCGGCAAUUUAAGUCAGUGGUGAAAUCCUGCAGCUCAACUGUAGAACAGCCAUUGAAACUGAAUUACUUGAGUAAUCUUGAGGUAGGCGGAAUGUGUAGUGUAGCGGUGAAAUGCUUAGAUAUUACACAGAACACCGAUUGCGAAGGCAGCUUACUAAGGAUUUACUGACGCUGAUGCACGAAAGCGUGNGGAUCAAACAGGAUUAGAUACCCUNGUAGUCCACGCCGU